rnacentral:rRNA from 1 species
GACGAACGCUGGCGGCGUGCUUAACACAUGCAAGUCGAACGGAAAGGCCCUGCUUUUGUGGGGUGCUCGAGUGGCGAACGGGUGAGUAACACGUGAGUAACCUGCCCUUGACUUUGGGAUAACUUCAGGAAACUGGGGCUAAUACCGGAUAGGAUCUCCUGCUGCAUGGUGGGGGUUGGAAAGUUUCGGCGGUUGGGGAUGGACUCGCGGCUUAUGAGCUUGUUGGUGGGGUAGUUGCUUACCAAGGCUUUGACGGGUAGCCGGCCUGAGAGGGUGACCGGCCACAUUGGGACUGAGAUACGGCCCAGACUCCUACGGGAGGCAGCAGUGGGGAAUAUUGCACAAUGGGCGGAAGCCUGAUGCAGCAACGCCGCGUGCGGGAUGACGGCCUUCGGGUUGUAAACCGCUUUCGCCUGUGACGAAGCGUGAGUGACGGUAAUGGGUAAAGAAGCACCGGCUAACUACGUG